rnacentral:tRNA from 1 species
GCCAGCGUGGCAUAGUGGUUUGAGUGUUGGACUAUGACUCUAUAGACCAGGGUUCAAUUUCCAGCUCGGCCA